AUAUAGUGAUGUGGGCAUUUCCUAAGCAGUGGCUUGAAGCGUUCCCACGCUUCGUAUAACAUAUCGCCUUCUAAUUCUUAAAAUUAGAAAUGUCAUGCCUUAAUUG
rfam:Gossypium arboreum cultivar AKA8401 contig_97898_1, whole genome shotgun sequence.